rnacentral:lncRNA from 1 species
CGCUCCGCGCCGCCGCCCGCCCGCGCCGCGGCCGCGCCGUGCUGGGCAGCGGCAGGGCCGAGUCCUGCGGUCUCCUGAGAACAUUUUUUCUGAGUGACUCCUGCUUCCAGACACAUUUGCCAUGAGAAGGGUUCCAAUCCUUUCCUGUAUUUGCCCUGAGUCAUGAAUGGAUAUGUGUGAUGCCUGCAAGUAAAACUGGUGAGUUGUCAAGCCUGAGUUUGCAAUAACUCUCACUUAUCCUUUCUUACUAAUUAUCUUCCCCUCAUU